CAACAGCAGAAUGAUGGGUAAGCAAAGACGCCUGUCUCUUUAAGAACAGUUCCGGCGGACUGUCUGUGUCUCCCGACCGCACAAAAACACCUUACCCAGCAAAUCUAACCACUCCUUUCACAGAGUUUCACUCUUGUAGUCCCCCGUGACUGCGGACACAGCCUCAGCACAUCACAGAAACCAGCCUCCCCUCCAUGGACUCUGUCUACACUUCCCACUGCCUCAGUAAAGCAGCCAGCGUAAUCAAAGACCCCCUCCCCCCUGCCAAUCCCCAUCCUAGACAUUCUCUCUUCUUCUCCCCUCCCAUCAGGCAGAAGGUUGAAACCUGAAAGCACAUACCACCCGCUUCAACAGUCCUGUGCCAAAGUCUCUGGCACAGACAUACAGCUCGGCUGCCCAAGACUUUUGUCAAUGCGGAGUGGAGAGAGAGUUUGUAAGUCUGGCGGAAGCCAACGAUGUUGGGAAGGGGAAGGGUGGAGCACCGCGGGAGGGAGGGGUGUGGGACAGGGGGCAAAGAAGGAGUGGGGAGGGCGGCGUGGAUUCAGACACACCUGGCAAGGUUAUUUGAUCCCCUCCCCUCAACCUUCCACAUUUCCCUAAACUGAUUCCCCUCUCCGUGCCCCCUUUCGCAAACACGAUCCCACUCUCGGUCCACAAUAGAGACCCACAUCAGAAUCAGGUUUAUCAUCACUCACACGUCAUGAAAUUUGUUUUUUUUUGCUGCAGCAGUACUGCGCAUUACAUGAAAUUACUACAGCACUGUGCAAAAGUCUUAGCCACGCCAGCUAUACAGUAUGCUGUAAAGUUUGUGAACCCUGUAGAAUUUUCCCUAUUUUUACCUAAAAUGUGAUCAGAUCUUCACGCAAGUCCUAAAAUUAGCUAAAGUGGACCCAAUUAAAUAAAUAACACAAAAAACAUAAUAUUAAUUAACUUAUUUAUUGAGAAAAGUGAUCCAAUAUUACAUGUAUUUGUAGGAAAAAGUAUUUCAACUUCUGGGGAAUUGCCUUCUACAAAAGCUAUUUGGAGGCAGGCAUUCCCAUCAAUGAGAUGAGAUUGGAGGUGUGGGUUGGAGAGGAGUCCUGCCCUUUCAAAAAGACAAAGUCAGGUUACUGACAGAGCCUGCUCUUCUCAAGAAAGAUCUGUUUAUGUGCACCAGGCCUUGAUCAGAACAACCUUCAGAGGAUCUUAGAAGAAGAACUGUAGAGAUGCAUGGAGCUGGAAAAGGAUACAAAAGUAGUUCUGAAGAUUUGAGUGUUCAUCAAUCCACAGUAGGAGAAACUGUCUACAAAUGGAGGAAAUUUAGUACUGUUGCUACUCUCCCUGGGAGAGGGCAUCCUGCAAAGAUCACACCAAGAGCACAACUUGCAAUGCUGAAGAAGGUGAGAAAGAACCCAAGGGUAACAGCAAAACACCUGCAGAAAUCUCUAGAACUUGCUAACGUCUCUGUUCAUGUGUCCACUACAAGAAAAACACUGAACAAGAAUGGUGUUCAUGGAAGGACACCACAGAGGAAACCUCUGCUCUCCAAAAAGCAAACAAUGCUGCACGUCUCAAGUUUGCAAAAGACCACCUCCCACAACGCUUCCGGGGCAACGUUCUGUGGACAUAUGUGGCAAAAGCUGAACUUUCUGGCAGAAGUACACACUGCUAUGUUUGGAGGAAAAGAGGCACUGCACACCAGCACCAAAACGUCAUACCAACUGUGAAUCGCGGAGAAGGAGCAUCACGGUUUGGGGCUGCUUUGCUGCCUCAGGGCCCGGACAGCUCGCAAUCAUAGAGGGGGCAAUGAAAUCAAAAGUGUACCAAGACAUUUUACAGGAGAAUGUAGCAGUCCAUCGCCUGAAGUUUAAUAAAAGUUGGGUAAUGCAACAAGACUAUGAUCCGAAAGACAACAGUAAAUCAACACCAGAAUGGUUUAAAAAGAAGAAAAUUCUUGUUUUGGAAUGGCCAAGUCAAAGUCCUGACCCUAAUCCUAUAGAAAUGUCGCAGAAGGACCUGAAGCAAGCAGUUCAUCCAAGGAACCCCACCAACAUCCAGCAGUUAUGUAAGGAGGAAUGGCCUAAAAUUCCUCCUAGCUGAUGUGCAGGACUGGUCAACAGUUACCAGAAACACUUGGUUGAAGUUAUUGCUGUGCAAGGGGGUCACACUAGUUACUGAAACAAAGGUUCACAUACUUUUUCCAACAAAUACAUGUAAUAUUGGAUCAUUUUUCUCAAUAAAUAAAUGACGAAAUAUAAUGCUUCUGUAUUUUUUAUUUAACUGGGUUCUCUUUAUCUAGCUUUAGGACUAACGUGAAGAUCUAAUCACGUUUUUAGGUCAUAUUUAUGCAGAAGUAGAGAAAAUUCUACAGGGUUGACAAACUUUCUAGUAUAUGUGUGCCUAAGGCUUUUCGCGCGAUAUUGUACCUUGCUGGUAUAAGAGCACCGAGCGGUUCCCUGGUACAUUAAGACCCUUGACCUCACAGUCGAUGCCUCCAGAAGACACGGUACAUCAUUAAAGACCCCUCACGCCCUCUCCAUGAACUGUUUGUUCCUCUGCCAUCAGGCAAACAUUACAGGAGCAUCAAAACUAAAACCACAAGGCUACUAAACAGCUUCCUCCCACAGGCAGUCAGACAGCUAAAUAGCUGCUCUACCUGACUCUGCUUUGGACACUUUUAACUUGUACUGGACACUUAUAACUUGUUUUUAACUGACAUGUGGCUGUUGUGUUUUACUAUUUAUGGUUAUGUUUAUUAUUUAGUGUUGCGUUUGUAAUGUUAUGAUUGCACUGCCCCUGGGAAACGCUGUCUCAUUCUGCCCUGCACAGCUGAUGUACUGUUAGAAUGACAAUAACAUUUUUGAAUCUUGAAUCUUGAUCUCUUUAUAUGCUUACACCUUAUUGUCUGCCUGCACUGCACUUUCUCUGUAUCUGUGACACUUUAUUCUGCAUUCUGUUACUGUUUUGCUUCGUUCUGUGUAAUGAGGCGAUCUGUAUGAACAAGCUUUUUACUGUACCUCGAUAACAAUUCCAAUAAACCAUUUGUAAAAGGAACACAAGUGAAGACAUCUGGAUCCAUUAGCAAGGCAAAGGCAAACAAAGUGGCUUUGGUUGGAGUGGGCAGUUUUAGAGUGGGGAUUUCGGGCUGCAGCUCUUCAAGGCUUUGGCAAGGAGAGGCUUGAGUGUGAGGAAGUGAAAAGGUAAAGGCAGAUUUUUGUUCCAGUUUAUUUAUUGUUUCCUUCUUUAUAAAUGAUGCACAGUUAGAACAGCAGAGAUGCCUGGCAGGUAAAUGCUGCAGUUGUGGAAUGUGGGAGAGGCAGGGAAAUGUAUUCGUGUUAAGGAGUUGGAGCUGGAACUGGAUGAACUCCAGAUCAUUCGGGAAGCGGAGAGGGUGACAGAUAGGACAUAUAGGGAGGUAGUUACACCCAAGGUGCAGAACACGGGAAACUGGGUGACAGUCAGGAAGGGGAAGGGGUUAAGGAGCCAGCACAGAGUACCCCUCUGGUCAUCCCCCUCCACUUUAGAUACCGUUGGUAGGGGAUGACCUAGUAGAGAAAGGUCUGGCACUGAGACUAUGUCUCAGGAAGAAAGGGGGGAGAAGAGGCGAGCUAUGGUGAUAGGGGAAUUCAUUAGUUAAGGGAACAGAAAGGAGGUCCCACGGACGAGAACGAGAUUCCUGGAUUGGUAUGUGCCAGGGUCCCAGACAUCUCGGAUAGAGACUUCAACAUUCUUAAGUAGGAAGGGGAGAGACCAGAGGUCGUGGUCCAUAUAGGUACCAAUGACAUAGGUAGAAAGAGGGACGAGGUUCUGCAAAGUGAGUUCAGGAAGUUAGGUGCUAAGGUAAAGGACAGGACCACCAGGGUUGUGAUCGUAGAAGUGUUACCUGUGCCACAUGCUAGUGAGGUCAGAAAUAGGAAGAUCAUGCAGUUUAACACGUGGCUGUUGGAGGGAGAACUUCAGAAUUUUAGAUCACUGGGUUCCAGGGAAGGUAGGACCUGUACAGAAGAGGUGGUUUGCAUGUAAACUGGAGGGGGAUUAAUACUGCAGGAAGGUUUACUAGUACUGUACCAGGGUGGGGGGGGGGGUGCAGCUUAAACUACAGUUGCAGGGGGAUGGGUACCAGAACAGACAGUGGGGAGGUUGUGGAGACACAUGUUGUUAAUUUCUGAGACAAAGUCGGGAAUCAAAAGGUGCGACUGAUGUCCUGAGCUGCGUAUAUUUCAAUACAAGAAGUAUUGGAGGAAAGGCAGAUGAGCUCAGGGCAUGAAUCAACAACUGGAACUAUGAUUAUGUUGCCUUUAAGGCAUUCAUUUAGUUUAUUACAUUUUCGCUUUAGUAAUUCAUUUGUAAUUAUUUUUCUAGUUAAAGUUAAGGUUGUUGAAAGUAAACUCGUUGUCUAUGAUGUAUCGCGGCAUGCGAUGACAUCACACCACGUUUCGCCGCGUCUUGUGGGAAAAUACCGGUUUGGAGAAACAGGAAGGAGGGGGUUUGUGUGUGCAGGAUCAGCAGGAGAAAAGUUUUCAUUCUACGCACUAAGAAACAUCACAGAAACAACGCCGCAUUCACAGUAAACACAACGGAAUCAAUGAAACAGCACGCACAAGAUGCCGGAGGAACUCGGCAGACCAGGCAGACUCUGUGGAAGAGAGUCGACGUCUUGGGCCGAGACCCUUCGUCGGGACCGGAGAAAAGAAGAUGAGGAGCCGGAGUAAGAAGGUUCGUGAAUAGGAAAGAUUUAGGGGAUUCCCAGCCUGCGGUCAACAGAUAUCUCCGGUUCAUGGCAAGGCUCCAAUGGCAUUGGGAACCCCCCUGAUGUAGAGGGGUAUAGGCCAAACACGGGCAACUGGGACUGCCUCAGGUGGGCGCAUUGUUCGACACGGACCGAAUGGGUUAAAGAGCUUGUUUCCCAAUGCUGUAUUACAUACAGGAAAACAAGGUCUUUCAUCCAUUCUGUUAUGGUUAUUCUAUAGAUUUGCUGAGUACGCCCACAAGAAAAUGAACCUCAGGGUUGUACAUAGCGACAUACCUGUACUUUGAUGAUAAAUUUACUUUGAACUUUAAAAGCCUUUGUAGUUUCUUAUUAAAUUGAU